GCAGAACGCGAAGAACCUUACCCACUCUUGACAUACCUCUUGGGACUUUCAGAGAUGAUUGUCUUCGGUUCGGCCGGGGAGGAUACAGGUGCUGCAUGACUGUCGUCAGCUCGUGUCGUGAGAUGUUUGGUUAAGUCCAGCAACGAGCGCAACCCUUAUUGUCUGUUGCCAUCAUUCAGUUGGGCACUCUGACAAGACUGCCGGUGAUAAGCCGGAGGAAGGCGGGGACGACGUCAAGUCAUCAUGGCCCUUACGAGUGGGGCUACAAACGUGCUACAAUGGCAGAGUCAAUGGGCAGCUACCUCGCGAGAGGAUGCUAAUCUCCAAAAUCUGUCUCAGUUCGGAUUGCUCUCUGCAACUCGAGAGCAUGAAGUUGGAAUCGCUAGUAAUCGCGCAUCAGCAUGUCGCGGUGAAUACGUUCCC
rnacentral:rRNA from 1 species